AAGAUUAAGCCAUGCAUGUCUAAGUAUAACAAUUCAUACUGCGAAACUGCGAAUGGCUCAUUAAAUCAGUUAUAGUUUAUUUGAUGGUAUCUUGCUACAUGGAUAACUGUGGUAAUUCUAGAGCUAAUACAUGCUUAAAAGCCCCGACUUCUGGAAGGGGUGUAUUUAUUAGAUAAACCAAUGUGUUUCGGCACUUCUUGGUGAUUCAUAAUAACUUCUCGAAUCGCAU
rnacentral:rRNA from 1 species